AUUGAACGCUGGCGGCAGGCCUAACACAUGCAAGUCGAACGAGUGGCGGACGGGUGAGUAAUGUCUGUGAAACUGCCUGCUGGAGGGGGAUAACUACUGGCAACGGUAGCUAAUACCGCAUACCAUCGGAUGUUCCCAAAUGGGAUUAGCUAGUAGGUGGGGUAAAGGCUCACCUAGGCGACGAUCCCUAGCUGGUCUGAGAGGAUGACCAGCCACACUGGAACUGAGACACGGUCCAAACUCCUACGGGAGGAAGAAGUGGGGAAUAUUGCACAAUGGGCGAAAGCCGGAUGCAGCCAUGCCGCGGGUAUGAAGAAGGCCUUCGGGUUGUAAAGUACUUUCAGCGGGGAGGCGUUACCCGAAGAAGAAGCACCGGCUAACUCCGUGCCAGCAGCCGCGGUAAUAC
rnacentral:rRNA from 1 species